rnacentral:rRNA from 1 species
UAUAGGAGAACAGACGCACGGCCUAAAUAUUAUCGAGUGAGUUCUCAGAGAAGGUGAAAAGCCUGUUUGGUUGUGUCUGUCUGUUGAAUCGAAGUUCUUACGAGUCUAGUUGUUUGAGAGUACAACUUAAAGUUGGUGGUAAAUUUCAUCAAAGGCUAAAUAUAUGAGGGGACUAAUAGCGAACAAGUACCAUGAGGGAAAGUUGAAAAGAACUCUGACGAGAGAGUUCAACAGUGCGUGAAACCAUAUUGAGUAAAACAGAUAACUGUGUCGUUAUGUGGUGUGUCUAUCAACAGCAUAUCGGGUGUUGCGAUUCGGCGAGUGUGAGCUGUUUAUUCAGACGAUCGCUCGUUGUUAGCAUAAUCCGAGGUUCUGUGUACUAGUGCACAUCCAAUCAUUGAGAAACUAUGCUACUGCGGCAUCGGUGUACAUCAGUCCCCGCCUAGCGGGAAGUUGUAUACUGGGCUCAGCUGGCGGCGUAGUUUAGCUGUGUGACAGCUGUGGGAUGCGUUUGUUGAAUGUGCCUGCUUUGUCUGCGAAUCGGUUUAUUCCUUUUUGCGGUGAGUAUGGUACAGUAGGCGAGCGUUCCGCCAUCAAUGGUUGACAUUAGUUAUUUGACCCGUCUUGAAACACGGACCAAGGAGUUCAAAUGGCACGCGAGUCAUUGGGUUUAAUCACCCGAAAGGCGAAGUGAAAUGCAAACGUAUCGUUACUCGUGGAAUCCGCGAUUCAGCGAUAAGCUACUCAUGCUUUCUGGCAUUUGUAGACUAAAAGCGUGAUGUUUGAGACCCGAUUG